GACGAACGUUGGCGGCGUGCUUAACACAUGCAAGUCGAACGGAAAGGCCCUGCUUUUGUGGGGUGCUCGAGUGGCGAACGGGUGAGUAACACGUGAGUAACCUGCCCUUGACUUUGGGAUAACUUCAGGAAACUGGGGCUAAUACCGGAUAGGAGCUCCUGCUGCAUGGUGGGGGUUGGAAAGUUUCGGCGGUUGGGGAUGGACUCGCGGCUUAUCAGCUUGUUGGUGGGGUAGUGGCUUACCAAGGCUUUGACGGGUAGCCGGCCUGAGAGGGCGACCGGCCACAUUGGGACUGAGAUACGGCCCAGACUCCUACGGGAGGCAGCAGUGGGGAAUAUUGCACAAUGGGCGGAAGCCUGAUGCAGCAACGCCGCGUGCGGGAUGACGGCCUUCGGGUUGUAAACCGCUUUCGCCUGUGACGAAGCGUGAGUGACGGUAAUGGGUAAAGAAGCACCGGCUAACUACGUGCUAGCAGCCGCGGUGAUACGUAGGGUGCGAGCGUUGUCCGGAUUUAUUGGGCGUAAAGGGCUCGUAGGUGGUUGAUCGCGUCGGAAGUGUAAUCUUGGGGCUUAACCCUGAGCGUGCUUUCGAUACGGGUUGACUUGAGGAAGGUAGGGGAGAAUGGAAUUCCUGGUGGAGCGGUGGAAUGCGCAGAUAUCAGGAGGAACACCAGUGGCGAAGGCGGUUCUCUGGGCCUUUCCUGACGCUGAGGAGCGAAAGCGUGGGGAGCGAACAGGCUUAGAUACCCUGGUAGUCCACGCUGUAAACGGUGGGUACUAGGUGUGGGGUCCAUUCCACGGGUUCCGUGCCGUAGCUAACGUUUUAAGUACCCCGCCUGGGGAGUACGGCCGCAAGGCUAAAACUCAAAGGAAUUGACGGGGCCCCGCACAAGCGGCGGAGCAUGCGGAUUAAUUCGAUGCAACGCGUAGAACCUUACCUGGGUUUGACAUGGAUCGGGAGUGCUCAGAGAUGGGUGUGCCUCUUUUGGGGUCGGUUCACAGGUGGUGCAUGCCUGUCGUCAGCUCGUGUCGUGAGAUGUUGGGUUAAGUCCCGCAACGAGCGCAACCCUUGUUCACUGUUGCCAGCACGUUAUGGUGGGGACUCAGUGGAGACCGCCGGGGUCAACUCGGAGGAAGGUGGGGAUGACGUCAAGUCCUCAUGCCCCUUAUGUCCAGGGCUUCACGCAUGCUACAAUGGCUGGUACAGAGAGUGGCGAGCCUGUGAGGGUGAGCGAAUCUCGGAAAGCCGGUCUCAGUUCGGAUUGGGGUCUGCAACUCGACCUCAUGAAGUCGGAGUCGCUAGUAAUCGCAGAUCAGCAACGCUGCGGUGAAUACGUUCCCGGGGCU
rnacentral:rRNA from 1 species